AAGUCGUAACAAGGUUUCCGUAGGUGAACCUGCGGAAGGAUCAUUACAAAUCCAACGUCUCCUUGCCGAGACCACGUUGAACUGUUCCCCCGGUACGAGUUUCCUUUGGGGGCGUCACAGCCCCCGACGGCCUUGCCGACCCCUUUCACAACCUAGUGUGCCCUGUUGCUUCAUAUGUAUGUCUUUGUUGACACAACAACAACAAGAAACAACUUAUAACAAUGGAUCUCUAGGCUCUU
rnacentral:misc_RNA from 1 species